AGGACGAACGCUGGCGGCGUGCUUAACACAUGCAAGUCGAGCGGAAAGGCCCUUCGGGGUACUCGAGCGGCGAACGGGUGAGUAACACGUGAGUAAUCUGCCCCUAGCUCUGGGAUAGCUCCGGGAAACCGGGAUUAAUACCGGAUACGACCACCUUAGACAUCUUUUGUGGUGGAAAGAAUUUCGGCUAGGGAUGAGCUCGCGGCCUAUCAGCUUGUUGGUGGGGUAACGCCUACCAAGGCGACGACGGGUAGCCGGCCUGAGAGGGCGACCGGCCACACUGGGACUGAGACACGGCCCAGACUCCUACGGGAGGCAGCAGUGGGGAAUAUUGCGCAAUGGGCGAAAGCCUGACGCAGCGACGCCGCGUGGGGGAUGAAGGCCUUCGGGUUGUAAACCCCUUUCAGCAGGGACGAAGCGAAAGUGACGGUACCUGCAGAAGAAGCGCCGGCUAACUACGUGCCAGCAGCCGC
rnacentral:rRNA from 1 species